CCUACGGGGGGCUGCAGUGGGGAAUAUUGCACAAUGGGCGCAAGCCUGAUGCAGCGACGCCGCGUGGGGGAUGACGGCCUUCGGGUUGUAAACCUCUUUCAGUAUCGGCGAAGCUCCAGGAUUUUUCUUGGGGUGACGGUAGGUACAGAAGAAGCACCGGCCAACUACGUGCCAGCAGCCGCGGUAAUACGUAGGGUGCGAGCGUUGUCCGGAAUUACUGGGCGUAAAGAGCUCGUAGGUGGUUUGUCACGUUGUCCGUGAAAACUCACAGCUUA
rnacentral:rRNA from 1 species